rnacentral:rRNA from 1 species
AACGAACGCUGGCGGCAGGCCUAACACAUGCAAGUCGAACGCCCUAGCAAUAGGGAGUGGCAGACGGGUGAGUAACGCGUGGGAACGUGCCCUUCAGUUCGGGAUAACCCAGGGAAACUUGGGCUAAUACCGGAUACGUGCGAGAGCAGAAAGAUUUAUCGCUGAAGGAUCGGCCCGCGUCCGAUUAGCUAGUUGGUGAGGUAAUGGCUCACCAAGGCGACGAUCGGUAGCUGGUCUGAGAGGAUGAUCAGCCACACUGGGACUGAGACACGGCCCAGACUCCUACGGGAGGCAGCAGUGGGGAAUAUUGGACAAUGGGCGCAAGCCUGAUCCAGCCAUGCCGCGUGAGUGAUGAAGGCCCUAGGGUUGUAAAGCUCUUUCGUCCGGGACGAUAAUGACGGUACCGGAAGAAGAAGCCCCGGCUAACUUCGUGCCAGCCGCCGCUGUAACAC